UUGGAAUAAUAUCGACAUAGUGUAAGAUAUUUACAUAGUUAAUGAAAAGAAAGAUAAAGGGAGAAAAGAUCGAUGAACAGAGCGAAAGACCGGGUUCCCGAGGCCACGAGUGAAAUCGGGCCGAUUCAAAACAAUGGAUUACAAGUAGAGGGAUAGGGAGAGGAAACUAAAGACACCGAGAUGUCGAGAAUGCGAGAUAGAAUGAGACGGAUACGGACAGAUUGAACGUGAGAGAGAGAGAGAGAGAGAGAGAGAGAGCGAGCGGGAGAGAGAAAGAAGAAAUGAGACAAACGAUUAUUAGCAGCAUAAUAAUAUAUAAAAGAAUAACUGAGAGCUGACGAUUGAGACAAAACUAUUGAAGAAAAAAAAAUAACAAAUCUGUUUGACGAACCUUAAAAUGGUGCGAUGCGGAACGAUAAUAUUGGGGUGACGAUUAUAUAUAUAAAUAUUAACGAUAAUAUAAUGCAAAUUUUUAUAUUUGCAUGUUUUGUGCUGUAAUUAGCGAGUAAUUAAGAUAUUUUGUAGAUAACACAUAUACACGCGACACAUACGUACACGUGAACACAUAUACACACAGAGACACGGAGAAGAACAUACAUCUACACUUCCAUUGAAUCGUAUUUGACCGCGUGCCGUGCCGCGCGUGUCAAAUAACGAAGUAAUUUCAACAACAACAAAAGAAAGAUGGUGGACAGAAAUAUGAGAGGAAUAAAAGUACACAAUGCGGUGUGAUCGCGCCACGGUGGUCUCCGUUGCGAAAGAAAUUCGAAAACUGUACGAGAAAAACGGCAGACCACCCAGAGUCUCGACUUUAGAUGCACAGGCAGAACUAGAACUGAAGAAAGACAUUGUUGGAAAAAUGAGCGAGAAUGAGGCCGAGUGAGUGUGUGUGCGUGCAUGCGAAUACAUGUGUGUGCGUAUGUGUCCGUAGAGAGAAAGAAAAAAGGAAAUUGCGAUCAUGAGAACGAGAAAUGGAAAAAUUGUAACGUGAGGGGAGAAAGAAAAUAAACGUGCGAAAAAUAAGAAUAAUGUUGAAAGAUUGUCCGAUUUCUGCCAAGAGAUCAUUCUUGUGCGAAGAGAGAGAGAGAGAGAGAGAGAGAGAGAGAGAGAGAGAGAGCGUAAAUAAAAGGAAUCUGUGUUGCUGAACGUGUGAGCGCGCAACGGAUAAACAAGAAAAUUAACGAAACAAAAGAAAAAACAAUUCAGGUGGAGGAUAAACUUGCGGAAUUGUAACAAAAGUAUACACGUUGAAUGAAUGGAAGUUGGCGAGUGUGAGGAAAGAAUGAAACGGAAUGAAUGACGUCGGACCAGAAAGGGACACGUGACUCAUUGUAUUCGUGUGUCGCUAUUUUGCCCGUGCGAGUGUAUGUUAUGUGCGCAUGUGAAUUGACAAAGGUAGUGACGAACGAAUGCUUCGGCUGUAUGUGCACCAGGGAUGGGGUUGCUGGUAGAAAAAGGGGUGGGGAAUAGUGUCUGUGAAAUUAACUGCUAAUAUACUACGUAUACACGAGCUUACAAGAACUGAAGAAGGAGAGGGUGGGAAAAGAGAUACAUAGAGAAAAGAGAGGGUAAUCGAGAGAAAAGCACAGGAAAAGUGUAAACAACGGAUUAACAAAAAGGAUAGUCCCGGAAAUAACAAGCGCGCUAGGUAAAGUUAAUUUCAAAUUCACGGAGAAAAAAAAAUCUGUUCAUGUAAUUAUUUCUUGGUGGAUUCCCGUUUUUUUUUCAUUUUCAUUUCUAACUUCUUUUUUUUGUGACUUUGCGAAAGAGAGUUUUCUUCUGUUUUCGUAGGCGAUACAUUCUUCUCUGCGAUGAUUUGUUAUUAUUUUUUUUUUUUUUUUUAAUGAAAGCGUUUGUAAACAUGAAUUGUGGGGAUCGACCAGAAAAAUGUAAUCGUUCAUAAACUGUGGAUAAAAAAGUAGUAGAGAAACUCGGAGAGGAGAGAACGAGCGAGCGAGAGAGAGAAUUUUUGAAAGUGAGUUUUCUGUAAUGUAAGCAAACGCAACAUACAGAGUUGGAUAAACCAUGGAAUUUUUAAAUCUUAAGCUCUCGAUCGUGCCAUUAAGCAACUCUAAUGGGAUAUAAUUGUAAUCUCAAGACUUUUAUGCUUUUUCGAAGCGCAUAUGUUAUCGUAAAGCAAAAAAAAGAAACUAGUAAUUACUAUCUCCCCUCCCCCCCCAUUGUCAGCUUUUGCACAUAUUUCGACGAUUCUUACGUAUACAUUUAUCUAAUGUAAUUGAAAGGAACGAGAGGAAAGAAGAUGAAACCACCCAUAUUUUUAAUAGUUUGUUGGAAGGAAGUUUGUAUUCGCUCGCACACAUACAUACAUACGUACAUACACGCGGAACACGAUCACGGGAAAAAAACAUACACAUACACACACUUUCCACGCCGGUACUUCCUUUUUCGUUUCGGUAGAGAGAAAUGUCACGAACGAGUGGUGUUUAAGUUUUCACAAGGGUAGCGCAUGUAAAAAAAGAAACGAAAGGAUCUAUUUGAUUCGACUAUGUUCGAGGAUAACUAGGUGAAAAGGACGAAGGAAAAUGGAAAAAAAGGUGAACGAGGUAAAUAAGUUAAACAGAACACUUUCCCUAAUCCCAGCUUCUCCCUGACCCCAAAGUAUCCUACUCUAUAGAUAUCUAAAUACGUGUAGUUCUUAAAUUAUUUACUUUAGUUCGAGUGGAGAUGCCUGUAAGUGUAAUUUACUAAGACUUUUUGUAAAUAAAUUAUGAAAUAAACUAGACGUACUUUAUCCAAAUGACUAUAUACAUAUAUAUAUAUAAUAGAUAUAUAUAUAUAUAUGAUAUGCGGACACGUCUGACGCAUUGAAAUAGAACUUAAUAGCGAUUUAAACAAGGGGGAAAAAGAACUAUUUACAAGAGUAUAUGAUGUACUCUUUACAUAAUUGUGAUGAUGGUGAUGAUGAUGAUUAUGAUUAUGAUGAUGAUGAUGAUGAUGAUGAUGAUAAUGAUGGCGAUGGCGGCGAUAAUGAUGCGUAGAGGAUAUUUAAACUAUACGAAAGUUGAGAAUGAAUUAAAUUGUACUUGUAGGAAACAAAACAAUGUUGCUUCUUAGUCAUAGGUUUUCAAUAUAGAAGGAAGUGUUGCGUUCAUUGGAGAAUUUAUUGUGCCUGAUUAAUUUAAAUAUACAAUGAUCUUUCUUUUAUAGUUUGGGUUCCAGUUACACAACUUGGUUUGAACAUAUACCGUUCUCCAUGUUCAAGAUCAUGGCUAUAUUUAUUUUCUGGCACAGCCACUCCAGAAUAUCUGUCGCUUCGCUUUCCAAAUACCAAUCUCCCAUGGGCGAUAAGCUGUCUUCGUUCUAAAGGUAAGACCAACUCAUCAGUUACAAGUAUAUAAGCAGUUAACAUACUACUUUGAUACAUUAUAAAUACCUUGUUCACAUGUAGGAUUAGUUUAUUAUUGACUACAGUUGUAGGUGAUAGCAGCUGAUGUGUUUCCAAUGUCCAUUUUACAUUCAAAGAUCCCCAUACGCAUCCUUUCUCGAUAAAGUAUAGACGCCUAGUCAACAUCAAAAAUAAGUUGCAAGAAACACUUUCGAUUGGAUAAACAAAUAUGAUUUUAAUCUACUCACUGCAAAGAAACCAGUGCUAUAUGUUUCCCAUCGUUAGACAAAGCAGCAUGCGCCCAAUACGUGUCUGCUUCCAUACAAGGAUUUUUAUUUAUUAAAGUCAAAAUGUGCAUUCCUUUCGCUUUGUGAACUGAGAAUAUCUCGAUUCCCUGGAACGAAAGUAUAAUGAUUUUCACAUUUGUAAAUUAAUUUGAUUAAUUCAAAUAACUAUGAUUUACCUUAUAUGGAUUGACGUAACGUGGUAAGCGUAUGCGAGAUAUAAACUUAUGACCUAUUUCUUGUGCCCUGAAAAAUAUGGCAGACUAUAAAUCUGCUCGAUUGAAUGUAUUACUAUUUAUUCUAUACCUUUUAAUUAUGUCCGCUAUCACUUUCGAGUAAGCUUUCAGGGAGGAACUUUCAGUAUGAAAAAAUAUUGAUGUUUUCUUUCCUAAGGUUCUGAAGAAAUACUUCAACUCUUCCUGGUGAACACCUAAACAAGUUGACACAAAAAUGGUUACGUACUUGUUUAUUUGAAAAAAAUAAAUGAUUUAUGCUUACUAUUUAUAAACGCAGUCACUAAGUUGGAAGUUUCUAAUUCAAUCUCUGUAGAAAAUGAGGUACGAAUCAAAGGAUUCAAAGGAGGUACAUCCUGGUUUUGAAAGCAUGGCUCUUUUGUCUAUAAUCAAAUGCUCUCAUUAAUCGACCCGAUAAUAAUCGCAGAAACAUUAGUAUUAUUAUUAUUGGUCUAUUACCUUAACUGGUGUUACGUGAAGUUCAAAGUCAAAAUUAAAGGCUGUCGUCUGUAUAGAGUCUACCGUGGCAUAGCCCAAUUGACAUGCUAUCUCGUGGCUCAGUUUCUCUGCUAUUUCGUCACCGCACAGAAUCAACUGCAACACAGAAUUCAAAAAAUAGUUCAGAUUAUAAUAAAAUAUCCCCAUUAAUAUUCUGUUCCAUUUGCUUACGGUAUUAGCCUCGUAAAAGUUAUCUCCUGGUGAUUUAAAGUUGUAGCCAUACUGAUUUCCUAGAACGGUAGUUGAGCGAAUCAACACCUGAAACUGUUGCAUAGCUUGAGCCGCAUAUGACCGUGAUAAAUCAAACAAAAGUUCCGCAUUAUUAACGGUAAUAAAGUUCUUUUGGUAACAAGGGAGUCUGAAAUUUCAAGAUUAAUAUUAGUAUUAGUACACCAAAAGCAUAUAGAAUGUGAACACUUCAACACACCUGAAUUCAGCAUGUUUUUCGGAGCUCCCAUUCUCAGAGUAUUCAAAAAUAAAUCUGACAAUAUUUUUAUAAUCUGCAAUAUCACUGAUAUUAUAAAUAUUAGGUCUCUCUGUGUCAGCCAGCAAUAUUAAACGUACUAAGAUCGGAGAAAUAUACAACUGUUCUAUUAUAUUCCUCUUUUUAACAGACGAACUCUGCAACUGUCAGGUUCUUUGUUAACACACCAGUUGCUUAGAACUAAUAUUAUAUGAAAAUUACUUCGGAGAUACCUCGUUAUUCCUGUUAGAAGGCAAAAUGUGCACGCUCGAAACGUCUUUCCUCAGUUUUGCAGCAAUAGAAUAUUUAGUCACCGGUUUCUUUGGGAUUAAGUCGAUUAAAGAGAGAAGGAAACCUUCUUGUAGAUUCAAAUCAAAUUCCCGAAUUAUGAUGCAAAUACCUCUGUGAAACAAAUUCGAAGGUUCUAGUAAACAAUAACAUACAAAUAUAAAUCUAAAGUUGCACGCUUACUUGUAAACGUUAUAAUUUAGCUUCUUUUGCUUCAAACCAGUAAAUUCAAUACAGUGCUUCAAUUUAGGGUUUCCAACGUGAUUGAAAACACUCUUUUGCAAGUUCGAGUAUAAAACUACUGGGAAGGUUGUAUUACGGAUUUGAUUAUCAAUCUGUGAAGCAACACACACACAAACCUCAGUAUCAUUUUACAUUCGAGCAAUGCUAAAUGAAAGUAUAGUUGUACCUGUAUUCUAUGCACAUGUCCUUGCAAGUAAGUCAACGUCAUAGAUUUCCUAAUGUGCAACCAAAUGGCUGGAGAGUAGGUUCUUCUCAGUUUUCCAAAGAACGGCUUAGUUAUGUGCAUUUUUACAAGAUCAACCUGAAAAUUCAUUCAUAUAUUCGUUCUUUGUCAAAUGUUAGAAGACCAGGCGUACUUACGUCAAUUAAAUUGUCUAACUGAGCCUUUUUACAAGAAUUUACAUAUUUGCUCUCUAUCCAUGCGCUCAACUCCAGCGAUAAACUUUUCCAUUUUCUGCCAAAGUAAAGCUCCCAGUGAGCCGCAGAGUCUGUCACGUUGGCGUACACCAACUCCCUCAGUAUUUCGUUUGAUUUUGUUACCUAAAAUGUAUUUGCAUUCAAUCAGCAAUUAAUUAGCAGGCCGAGUGACUAUCGUCAACUUACAAUGCUAACGCCAAUGCCAGCAAAGGAAACGAAUAUCUCUUUUUUGCUUGGUUCAGGAUCGAUGAUGUUCUUCGCUUUUAAAAACACUGCCUCCUGUUGAGUGAACAACAAGACCCUUUGAUUGCUCUGCAUAUAGCUCACCCAAUAAACAACAGUGGUUUGUUCUGUCUGGGAGCGUUUCAGUGUCGGUGACUUUAGAUCCUCGUCGCAGACGUUGCUCUUCUCACUGCCGCUGAAACUUGCAGAUUUGGUUUCCAACCACGUUGACUUAUUGUUGCCCUGUUUGUAUGAAUAAGUAGAGGAGGACACACUGUUGCAUGUGUCAACGAUCACAAGAGGAACAAUCUCUUGGCCACAUCCGUCCUAAAGACAUUCCAUAUGAGUUCUCUGGGCUUCGUAGGAUCAUCCCAUGUGUACAAAAGGCUUUGGAACGGAUUCACCAAUGCCACUUGCCCCAAGUUGUGCUGGCUGAUCUUCAGAAACAGAUCGUCGCAGAAAUUAUCUAUCCUCACUGGUAUAUCACCAGACACGCACUUUUGGAAUGUGAUGUUGUAAGGAGAAUUCACUCCGCCAUUGAUCUCCACGGUGAUAGCUGACUAUAAAUCCACGCGAUAUUUUCUCAUUAUACAGUCUCACAAUCAUUACAAGUAUUUUCAGUACUUACUCCGUUGUCCAUUCUCAAAACAGUCUUCCCUAUAUGAGUAAUACCGAAGUGUUGAGACACUAAUUGACUGUUUCUCCACUUUAUCCUCAUCCUCAUCGAAUCAGUCAUUGGCCAAAAUGGCAUACUCUGUCCAGGCAGGAGGUCGUUCCAUAAGUCUGCUUGAUCAUUCUCCUCCAUAAAUCUCAGAGUUCUUUUCGUUUUGUUACUGAUGUAGAAAUAGGGUAAGAACGUUAUGAUUUUCGUGAAGUUCGACAAACGUGAGCUCUCGAUUUCCGUCAGGAUUCUAUACUUCCUUCCGCGUUCUGUAUCCUUGCACACGAUCAAGGACAUCGAAGUAAUUCCUUCAAGACCAAAUGGUAGGGACCACUCGGACUGAUGAGCUUUCAGCCUGACCGUACCCUUCUUGUUAUUCUUCUGGGAGAAUAUAAUCAACUCUUCUUCAGGAACUUCGUUGAUUAUGUGGGAAUGACACUCCUGAAACCGUUUCGUUAAGCCGUCAAGUUGAUGCAUUGUAAUUUUACUUAAAAAAAAGAAAAAAAGAGUGUUUACCUGAAUAUACAGAGGCAAUCCAGAUUUAUUUAUUAUCCAAUAUUGAGAUUGAAUAACAAUGUGCCAACUUGUGAUCUUACACAAUUCUAUAUUCAACAGGAAAGGUUUGGUCAAGUCUGAUUCACUGUCCGCUGUCAUCAGAAUGAAUUUUCUUUCCAAGUUAGUAUUCAAUUUUGCUGAGCCGGUCCAAUAUCCGCCCAAAUAAUUCUGAAUCUGCAAAUCGACGUUAUCUAAUAAUCUAUUGUAAAACCGUGCACUAUAUUUGUCUCCAAUUUUUCAAAAAGUCAUUGCCAAUAGGUAAAACAACGAUGCCAGCUUGAUGCAUUAAUGCCACGCACCUUGAAUAUAAAUUGUAUGUCAUUGUUGCAGUUUAAGGAGUGCAUAUUGAUUUUCUCCCCGGGUUCAAUUUUCACUUCAUAGUUGAUAGAGGGUAUAUUCACGUCUACAACGAAUGGUAACUGAUUGUUGAAAAUAAGUGGAGAGUGGAUGCUUAUCAAGUAACUCGGUACUUGGCAGCUUGGUCUUGUGGUUAAUGGAACUUCGUUACAAGAGACCUUGACACAAAACACAGAAUGAUUCUCAUCCUCCUUCAUGUUGCAAUAAAUGUCUCUGGCUAUGUUCAUCGACGCGCUCAGUUCUUUCCAAUAGAUUCCUUCCUCGCUGACAUGGUAUUUCCUGCGACAGAUAUCUAUUAUUCCACACACCCUUGGCAUUUGUUAUUUAUUAUAUGCAUUUGGACUUCCACUUACUCUAAAUAAGCGGGUAGUAUAUAUAUAGGAAAAUGAUAAGCUAUAUAUAAAGGAAUAUUGUAAGUAGAAUCUGGCUCAAUGAUUGUCAUUCUAAUAUUGUCGUCGAAUGGGUUUGUUGGCACGCCUAUAGAAGUCAGUCCCAGUUUGUCCAACAAUGAUUUUUUAUAAUAAAGACCCAAUGCAUAAGAAGUUUCAUUUCUGAUCUGCAAUUAGAAUAUGAAACGUGCGUGAGACACUACCACUAUGGAUAACAGUAGUUUGAUCAUUUACCUGUAACGGUGAUCGUACGGUAAUUGUACGAUGCAAAUAAUUAUCUAUGGUAGCGUCAAUGACCAAAUGAUAACGGACUUCGUGCCUGAUCGGUCGCAAUGGAACCAAAUUGCAACCUUGUCGCAUAGGACAGUAGACAAGUACGUUUUCGAAUCCUGAAUGCAACAAAGAAUCUGUGAAAGUCACGGCGCUUUCCUGCAGGUGCGGUCCUAUGAAGAACAAUUGAUACCUUGAACAAUAACACGCAAUACUUCUCCUGUGAUUGUCUUGUAUAUUCUAAUGGAAGAAUCGUCUUGAAAUAUUUCCUUAAUCGGCAUCGUGUGAUUUUGCAGAUUCGGAUUAGGAUCUGCGAACUCCAUGUCAUUCUCUGCCCAUUGCGGACUGCCAUGGGUAGACUGAAUCUCUGGUUCCGGGCUACUUGGAAUACUCACUGGUGAAUCUACAUUAUGGUAGCCUUGGCUCGCUAGAACGCGCGUAACGGUUUUGUUAUCUUCCUGCAACAAGAGGAAACAGAGUUCGAAUUAAAUUCAAAAAGAUGUUCAAUGUAUCUCUAGUGUGUACCCUGACAUUUUCCGAAGCAAGCAAUUCUAUUCGACUUUCGUAACCGAUGGCGUUCUGCAGAUUGAGUUUUUUGAUGCUGGUAGGUACUAUUGGUAUUCCACUAUUGGCUUGGUGGAACGCAUUCAUGAUAACGUCGAUGACAGCAAUCAAGUUCGGGGUGACUAUGAAAUUCAAUUUCUCUUCCGCGGAGAUGGUGAUGUAGACAGCCAUGUCGUUGGACUUUAUCGAUUCGCGACCGAUCGGACCAACUGUAAUUGAACAUAAUUAUAUAAAUAAUUGUAUUAAUUCUA